AAAAAAAUCAACUCACGGGAGUCCCCAAAUGAAUCUGAAGCCGGAACCACCAUUUGGUCACCCCUGCAAGCACCAAGCCCCGACAGACUUACCAUGAUGGCAAUGUAGUGGCGCCAGGAGCUGGCCAGGGGCCCAUCCGUAUGCAGCAGCAGGUAGUGCAGGCGCCAGAAGCUGCUAAGGUGGUCAGAUGACAGGCAUAUGCUACCAUGGCCAGCUUAUGUGGAGCUAAGGGUCUGGGCCAGGGCUUUUUGUAGAUGGCAGAUCUGGGUACCAAACCCAGGGCCUUGUGCAUUGGAAGCAAGUGUUCUGUCAUGGAGCUACAUCCCCAGCCCUGAUUCAUUCAUCUAACAGAUAUACCCAAUUAUGAAUCUCCUUGAGUGUCUGAACUUGUCCUGUGAGGGACUGAAGACCCCCUAACUGCCCCCACUUCCAAACUCACCUCCUCCACUGGGAUGAAGGCGCUGGGCCCUCGAGGGCCUCGCCGAGCCUGGCCCUCCCGAUGCUCCUGCAGGGAAACACAAGGCUGAGGAUGAACCCAGGCGGCACCCCUGGCAUGCUGAGCACAUUCUACCCUGAGCCGCACCCCUCGAGGCCCAGCAAACAGUCAUUUGUUUAUCCUUCUCUCCACAGCUUCUAGGCUAUCUCCGCUCUCAGUCUCACCAACUGUUCCUGCCUGCACGACCCUGCCCUGUCCUAACCAACCACUACCUAGUAUCCACCCUGCAACCAAAUUUUCUCAAGUGUGAACCUGAUCCUUACAACCCACCUUCCCUUACCAAAGCCUACCAGAUAAAUGAGUGGCCAAGCCCCACCCCCUCUGGGACUUGAUAGUUCUCCAAG